GGGCCGCUGGUCUAGUGGUAUGAUUCUCGCUUAGGGUUUUUGAAACCUGAGCAAUUCUUGCGAGAGGUCCCGGGUUCAAUCCCCGGGUGGCCCC